GACGAACGCUGGCGGCGUGCUUAACACAUGCAAGUCGAACGGAAAGGCCCUGCUUUUGUGGGGUGCUCGAGUGGCGAACGGGUGAGUAACACGUGAGUAACCUGCCCUUGACUUUGGGGUAACUUCAGGAAACUGGGGCUAAUACCGGAUAGGAGCUCCUGCUGCAUGGUGGGGGUUGGAAAGUUUCGGCGGUUGGGGAUGGACUCGCGGCUUAUCAGCUUGUUGGUGGGGUAGUGGCUUACCAAGGCUUUGACGGGUAGCCGGCCUGAGAGGGUGACCGGCCACAUUGGGACUGAGAUACGGCCCAGACUCCUACGGGAGGCAGCAGUGGGGAAUAUUGCACAAUGGGAGGAAGCCUGAUGCAGCAACGCCGCGUGCGGGAUGACGGCCUUCGGGUUGUAAACCGCUUUCGCCUGUGACGAAGCGUGAGUGACGGUAAUGGGUAAAGAAGCACCGGCUAACUACGUG
rnacentral:rRNA from 1 species